GACGAACGCUGGCGGCGUGCUUAACACAUGCAAGUCGAACGGAAAGGCCCUGCUUUUGUGGGGUGCUCGAGUGGCGAACGGGUGAGUACACGGGAGUUAACUGCCCCUGACUUUUGGAUUACCUUAGGGAACCGGGGCUUAUUCCCGAAUGGAGCCCCUUCUGCCAUGUGGGGGUUGGGAACUUUCGGCGGUUGGGGAUGGACUCGCGGCUUAUCAGCUUGUUGGUGGGGUAGUGGCUUACCAAGGCCUUGACGGGUAGCCGGCCUGAGAGGGUGACCGGCCACAUUGGGACUGAGAUACGGCCCAGACUCCUACGGGAGGCAGCAGUGGGGAAUAUUGCACAAUGGGCGGAAGCCUGAUGCAGCAACGCCGCGUGCGGGAUGACGGCCUUCGGGUUGUAAACCGCUUUCGCCUGUGACGAAGCGUGAGUGACGGUAAUGGGUAAAGAAGCACCGGCUAACUACGUG
rnacentral:rRNA from 1 species